rnacentral:rRNA from 1 species
GACGAACGCUGGCGGCGUGCCUAAUACAUGCAAGUUGAGCGCUGAAGGUUGGUACUUGUACCAACUGGAUGAGCAGCGAACGGGUGAGUAACGCGUGGGGAAUCUGCCUUUGAGCGGGGGACAACAUUUGGAAACGAAUGCUAAUACCGCAUAAAAACUUUAAACACAAGCUUUAAGUUUGAAAGAUGCAAUUGCAUCACUCAAAGAUGAUUCCGCGUUGUAUUAGCUAGUUGGUGAGGUAAAGGCUCACCAAGGCGAUGAUACAUAGCCGACCUGAGAGGGUGAUCGGCCACAUUGGGACUGAGACACGGCCCAAACGCCUACGGGAGGCAGCAGUAGGGAAGCUUCGGAAAUGGACGAAAGUCUGAACGAGCAACGCCGCGGGAGGGAAGAAGGGUUUCGGAUCGUAAAACUCUGUUGGUAGAGAAGAACGUUGGUGAGAGUGGAAAGCUCAUCAAGUGACGGUAACUACACAGAAAGGGACGGCUAACUACGUG